UUUUUUUUCACUCAAGUUUCUGUACUCUUGUGGAAGACAGCGAUUUUGCUGUUAUAUUCGUGCCUGACCUGGAAGCUGAUCUCCAGGAGCUGUCUCAGUCAAAGACUGGGGGUGAAUGUGGAAAUGGUCCUGAUGACCAGGGGAAGAUUCUGCCAAAAUCAGAACAAUUUAAAAUGCCAGAAGGAGGUGACAGGCAACCACAGGUUUAAAUGAAGACAAG
rnacentral:lncRNA from 1 species